rnacentral:rRNA from 1 species
UACGAAGGGGGCUAGCGUUGCUCGGAAUUACUGGGCGUAAAGCGCACGUAGGCGGCUUUCUAAGUCGGGUGUGAAAUCCUGGAGCUCAACUCCAGAACUGCCUUCGAUACUGGCAAGCUAGAGUCCGGAAGAGGUGAGUGGAACUCCUAGUGUAGAGGUGGAAUUCGUAGAUAUGAGGAAGAACACCAGUGGCGAAGGCGGCUCCCUGGUCCGGUACUGCCGCUGAGGUGCAAAGCGUGGGGAGCAAACAGG